GGAAGAAAUUUUCGAAUCAACCAUACGGUGCGUUUCGUUUUUGUAUGUAUCUCCUCCUCGUGUUUUCCAAGUCCUCCCCCAUCUGAAGACUGAAACCAUCCCUAACCCUAAACCCUCCCUAACCCGUUGCAAUCCCUCCCCCAUCUGAAAUGAUGCCUAACCCUAACGUUCCUUUUCCAUUUACCCGUAGCUUUCCCUCGUUCCAGGAUCUGCCUUGAUAUUCCCCGUCGCAUUCCGGACCCCACAAGUCACAACACCUGAGUGCCAUUUUGUUCUUCUUCUUGUUCUACUUCUUUAAUCUUUGAACACGCCCUAAAACCUUCACUAGAAACCCUUUUAAUUAGUGCUUGAAAUGGACAUGCAGAGGCGUGUGGUCAAUUCAACAUUAUCGAGAAUAUAUUUACUCAAUUCAAAAUGAAAAUCGAGAUGAGUUCUCUUGAAUCCUCUUACCUAUUAGUUCAUAAUGCUUCUUUGAAAUUUUGUCAUAAAUGUUGACUCUUCUGCGGGUUAGAUAGUUACUAGUUGGAGAUGGAAUCUGGAUAGCUCGCCAUAAAUAUGUUGACAGUGAAUAUGUACUUGAUUAUAUUGUUGAAAGGAAGAAUGUUGAUGAUUUACGCUGUUCCAACAGGGAUAAUCGAUAUUGGGACCAAAAACUGAGGCUUUUGAGGUAUGGACUUAAGAGGCUGAUAUAUCUUGUGGAGGGUGACCCAAAUUCUUUCGAAGUUGCCGAAAGCAUCAAAACAACGCAAGUGAUUUUUUGAAAGUAUUUAUAAGAUCCAGAUUUUUUUAAAC